rnacentral:lncRNA from 1 species
AUCACUCCUGAGGAUGCAGAAUUCUAACCAGGGGCUACCAUGUCUGGUUUCCUGAGCGGUCCCAGCCCCCAGAAUCCAUAGAGACGCACAGUCCUUUUCCUCUUUUCCUUUUGGAAAUUAGAGAUGCUGCAAGGCCCUCCUCCUUCCCUCCAUCCCCUUUCACCACCCUCCUCUGCCCCUCCUACUUGGCCUGUCUGUAACAUCUUCCCUUUGCUUAAUUAAUGCCCAGUCCUGGGGCACUAACCCUUCUCUCCACCCUAUCUCUAACAAGAUUCCCAAGACCCGCCCCCCCCACCCCACCCCGUUGUUCCUUGUCCCUCCAGAGAAGGAAUCUAGGAGGGGAGGUCAUGGACCUUCCGCCCUCGGCCCAGAAGGAAGGCAGCCAACAGUACAGGGCCUGCAGGGUCCAUAGACCCAGGGCUGCCUACCUUAGCCCCCUCCCAGCCCUGGGGGCCAAGUGGACAGG